rnacentral:rRNA from 1 species
ACGCUGGCGGCGUGCUUAACACAUGCAAGUCGAACGAACCUUCGGGUUAGUGGCGGACGGGUGAGUAACACGUGGGAAUCUGCCCUCAGGAGGGGGAUAACGGUUGGAAACGACCGCUAAUACCCCAUAUGCCGAGAGGUGAAAUGAAUUUCGCCUGAGGAUGAGCCCGCGUCUGAUUAGCUUGUUGGUGAGGUAAUGGCUCACCAAGGCUUCGAUCAGUAGCUGGUCUGAGAGGAUGAUCAGCCACACUGGGACUGAGACACGGCCCAGACUCCUACGGGAGGCAGCAGUGGGGAAUUUUCCGCAAUGGGCGAAAGCCUGACGGAGCAACGCCGCGUGAGGGACGAAGGCCUCUGGGCUGUAAACCUCUUUUCUCAAGGAAGAAGAUAUGACGGUACUUGAGGAAUAAGCCACGGCUAAUUCCGUGCCAGCAGCCGCGGUAAUACGGGAGUGGCAAGCGUUAUCCGGAAUUAUUGGGCGUAAAGCGUCCGCAGGCGGCCUUUCAAGUCUGCUGUUAAAACGUGGAGCUUAACUCCAUCAUGGCAGUGGAAACUGAUAGGCUUGAGUAUGGUAGGGGCAGAGGGAAUUCCCGGUGUAGCGGUGAAAUGCGUAGAUAUCGGGAAGAACACCAGUGGCGAAGGCGCUCUGCUGGGCCAUAACUGACGCUCAUGGACGAAAGCCAGGGGAGCGAAAGGGAUUAGAUACCCCUGUAGUCCUGGCCGUAAACGAUGAACACUAGGUGUCGGGGGAAUCGACCCCUUCGGUGUCGUAGCUAACGCGUUAAGUGUUCCGCCUGGGGAGUACGC